rnacentral:lncRNA from 1 species
AAAUUUUGAUAAGUUGUAUUUUCACUUUCAUUUAGUUCAAAGUAUUUUGAAAUAUUUUUCUUGCAACAACUUCUUCGACCAGUAUGUUAGAGAGUCUUGUUUAAUCUCCAGAUAUUUCGGGGUUUUCCAGCUAUAUUUCUGUUAUUGAUUUCUAGUUUAAAUUCAUUGUGGUUGGAGAACAUACUAUUUUUUUUUUAAAAUUGGCCCCUGAGCUGACAUCUAUUGCCAGUCUUUUUUUUCCCGUUGCUUUUUCUCCCCAAAGCCCCCCAGUACAUAGUAGUAGAUUCUAGUUGUAGGUCCUUCUUGUUGUGCUACGUGGGACACCGCCUCAGCAUGGCCUGACGAGCAGUGCCAUGUCCACGCCCAGGAUCCGAACCGACAAAACCCCAGGCCACCAGAGCGGAGUGCACAAACUUUACCACUCAGCCAAGGGGCCAGCCCAGGAGAACAUACUUUUAUAUGACCUCUUUUUUUUAAUUCCUUCAAGUGCAUUUUAUGCCCCGGAAUAUGGCUUAUCUUGGUGAAUGUUCCAUGUGAGCUUGAGAAGAAUGUGUAUUCUGCUCUCAUUGGAUGAAGUAUUGUGUAAGUGUCAAUCAGGCUGAGUUGAUGGAUGGUGCUGUCCAGGUCUGCUGUAUCCUUACUGGUUUCCUGCCUUCUGGAUCUAGUGAUUUCUGAAAGAGGAGUGUUGAAGUCUCCAGCAAUGGCAGUGAAUUUGUCUGCUUCUCCUUGCAUUUCUGUCAGGUUUUGCCUCACAUGUUUUGACGCACUGUUGUUAGGUGCAUAGAUGUUUAAGACUGUUACGUCUUCUUGAAGAAUUGGUGCCUUUAUCAUUACAUAACACCCCUCUUUAUCUCUGGUCAUUUUCCUUCCUCUGAAGUCUGCUGGUCUGAAAUUAAUGUAGCUCCUCCAGGUUUCUUUUCAUUGGUGUUAGCGUGGUUUAUCUUUCUCCAUCACUUUACUUUUAACCUAUAGCUUCAUAUUUAAAGUGGGCUUCUUUUAGACAACAUACAGGUCUUGGUUUUUUGAUCCACUCUGACAAUAUCUGUUUUGUUUUGUUUUCUUUGUUUUUGUGAGGAAGACUGGCCCUGAGCUAACAUCUGUUGGCAGUCUUCCUCUGCUUUAUGUGGGAUGCCACCACAGCAUGGCUUGACAGGCGGAGCUAGAUGCACACCUGGGAUCCAGACCUGCGAACCGUGGGACCCCAAAGCAGAGUGCUCAAACUUAACCACUAUGCCACUGGUUGGCUCCAAUAUCUGUUUUUUAAUUGGUAUAUUUAAAUCAUUCACAUUUAAAUUGAUUAUUGAUACCAUGGGAUUAAUAUCUCUUUGUUUUCUAUUUGUUGCACUUGUUCUCUGUUCCUUUUUUCUCCCCUCUCUUUCGGCCUUUUCUGAUUUUAAGUGAGCAUUGUGUAUGAUUUCAUUUUCUCUACUCUCUUAGAAUAUCAGUUUUUUACUUCUUUUUAAAAUUUUUUUAGUGAUUAUCCUAAAAUUUACAAUGUACAUUAAUAACUAAUCUAAGUCCACUUUCAAAUAACACUGUACUGCUUCAUGGAUGGUACAGGUACUUUAUGGGUGGAACAGGUACUUCAUGGAUAGUACAGAUACUUCAUGGAUAGUGCAGGUACUUCAUGGAUAGAACAGGUACUGCAUGGAUAGCACAGGUACUUCAUGGAUAGUACAGAUACUUCAUGGAUAGUGCAGGUACUUCAUGGGUAGUACAGGUAUUUCAUGGAUGGUACAGGUACUUCAUGGGUGGUACAGGUACUUCAUGGGUAGUACAGGUACUUCAUGGAUGGUACAGGUACUUCAUGGGUAGUACACAUUCUUCAUAUAUAGUACAGAUACUUCAUGAUGGUACAGGUACUUCAUGGGUAGUACAGGUACUUCAUGGGUAGUACAGAUACUUCAUGGAUAGUACAGAUACUUCAUGGAUGAUACAGUUACUUCAUGGGGAGUACAGGUACUUCAUGGGUAGUACAGGUACUUCACGGAUAGAACAGGUACUUCACGGGUAGUACAGGUACUUCACGGGUAGUACAGGUACUUCAUGGGUAGAACAGGUACUUCAUGGGUAGAACAGGUACUUCGUGGGUAGAACAGAUACUUCAUGGAUAGUACAGGUACUUCAUGGAUAGAACAGGUACUUCAUGGAUAGUACAGGUACUUCAUGCAUAGUACAGAUACUUCAUGGAUAGUACAGGUACUUCAUGGAUAGUACAGAUACUUCAUGGGUCGUACAGAUAGUUCAUGGGUAGAACAGGUACUUCAUGGAUAGAACAGGUACUUCAUGGGUAGAACUGGUGCUUCAUGGAUAGAACAGGUACUUCAUGGAUAGUACAGAUACUUCAUGGGUAGUACAGGUACUUCAUGGAUAGAACAGGUACUUCAUGGGUAGAACAGGUACUGUGUAAUAGACUAUUCACAGUCCCUUUGUACGGUCCUUUAUAAUGUUGCUUUCACUCAUUUUGCUUUACCAUAUGCUGUAAUCACCCAAUUCACUGUUGCUAUUAUUACUUUGAACAAAGAGUUAUCAAUUAGAUCAAUUGAGAAUAAGAAAUGUAAAGGUUAUAUUUUACAUUAGCUUAUUCGUUUCCCAAUGCUCUUCCUUUCUUUAUGUGCAUCUAAGUUCCUGACCUGUAUAGUUUUUCUUCUUCCUGAGUAACUUCUUUUAACAUUUUUCUAAGACAAGUCUGCUGGCAAUAAGUUCUCUCAGUUUUUGUUUGUCAGAGAAAGUCUUUAUUUCUCCUUCAGUUUUACAGGAUGAUUUCACAAGAUACAGAAUUCUAAGUUGGUAUUUUUUCCUUUCAACGCUUUAAAUCUUUCACUCCACUCUCUUCUUGCUGUCUUGGAUUCUGAUGAGAAGGCCAAUGGAAUUCUUAUCCUUGUUUUUCUCCUCUGGCUUCUUUCAUGAUUUUCUCUUUGUCUUUGUUUUUCUGAAGUUUGACUAUGAUAUGUUUAAGUGUAGUUUUUAUGGUGUUUAUCCUGCUUCUUGUUCUCUGAAUUUCCUGCAUCUGUGGUUUGGCAUCUGUCAUUAAUUUUGGAAAAUUCUUGGCCAUAAUUGCUGCAAGUAUUUCUUCUGCUCUCUUCUCCCUUUCUUCUUCUGGUGUUCCAAGUAUGUGGAUAUUACACCUUUUGAAAUUGUCCCACAAUUCUUGGAUAUUCUAUUCUGGGAGUUUUUUGUUUUGUUUUUUCAUUAUUUUUUCUCUUUGCCUUUCAGUUUGGGAAGUUUCCGUAAGAUAUCUUCAAGCUCACUGAUUUUUCCCUUGAUUGUAUCCAGUCUGUUAAUGAGCCCAGUAGAGACGUUCUUCAUUUUUGUUACAGUGUGGGUUUUUUUAUUUCUAGCAUUCCUUUUUUAUUAUUUUGUGGUGUUUUCAUCUCUCUGCUUGCAUCACCUGUCCUUCCAUGUUAUCUGCUUUUUCCAUUAGAACCUUUAACAGUAGCCAUGGUUAUUUUAAAUUCUAAAAUCCGUGCCAUAUCUGAAUCUAGUUCUAAUGCUCGCUUUGCCUCUUCAGACUGUAUUUUUUCUCGCCUUUCAGCUUCGCAUACCUUGUGAAUUUUUUUUGAAAGCCAGACAUCGUGUGUCAGGUAACAGGAAAUAGGAGCAGAGAUAAGUAGGUGUUCUGUGUGAGGUUCUGCGUUAAUCUGGCUGGGAGCUGGACUCUGUUUCAUAUUUUCGUUAGCUGUGGGUGUCAGACACUUUCAUUUCCUUGAGUGUCCUUGUUUGUGUCUCCCCUGUUGUCUCUGUGAUUCCCUACAAACUGCUUCUUAAGUAGAAUCUGCACCUUGCAGCUCUUUCAGCUGUAAUCCACUGUUGUUAUACAGUACCUGUGUUGGGGCCAUAAGAUAAUGGGGAGAGAGGAAAUGUCCUAUAGUCCUGUGCUUAAAUCUCAGUCUUUUAGUGGGCCUGUGUCCCUGGGCUGUGACUUCCACAAGUGUUUCUCAGCAUUUUCCCCCCUCAGGUGAGACAGGAAGUCUAGCCAGGGCUGGAUUUGGGUAAUUUCCCUUCUCCCUAGUCAGAUAAGGCUCUGGCAAAGUCUCUCCCCUGCUGAAAAGGCCUUUGUUAUGGAGGAUGCUCUGGGCGGAUUUCAGAGUGGUUCCUUUUCCCCUCCCCCUGCCAGAAACGCAAGUGUUUCUUCUUGGCUCUUCAUAAUGAGAAUUUAGUGAGGUUCCUGGAAGUACAACCUGCUAAAGUGUGGAGGCCUCUGUUAGACCACAGCCCCCAGGAGUUACUCUAACUCUAGUCCACACCCAGCCCCUGGCGGUUCGUCAGUUACCAUUUUAGUCUUCCUCCCAGUUUAUGGCUCCAGCAGCUUCUGUACCAGGUAAGCUGACCUCAUCUGUGUUCUCCUGUCUCUCCACAUUCUGAGAUGACAGUUCGCCCUGCAACCUCAAUUUGCUGGUGGCUCCAAGAAAAGUCAUUAAAGUUAUUGAUUUUCAGUUUGUUCAGCUUUUUUCUUUUUUCUUUUCUUUUUUUGGAAGAUUAGCCCUGAGCUAACGUCUGCCACCAAUCCUCCUCUUUUUUCUGAGGAAGAUGGGCCCUGAGCCAUCUGUGCCCAUCUUCCUCUACUCUAUAUGUGGGACACCUGCCACAGCCUGGCUUGACAAAUGGUGCAUAGGUCUGCACCCAGGAUCGAACCAGAAACCCCAGGCUGCUGAAGCAGAACAUGUGAACUUAACUGCUGUGCCACCAGGUUGAUCCCUCAGCUUUUUUCUUAUAAGGACAUGAGUGACAACUUCCAAACCCUUCACAUAUCAGAACUGAAGAUGGAAGUCCCAGGCCGGCCCCGUGGCCGAGUAGUUAAGUUCACGCGCUCCACUUCGGUGGCCCAGGGUUUCACCAGUUUGGAUCCUGGGCGCGGACAUGGCACUGCUCAUCAGGCCACGCUGAGGCGGCGUCCCACAUGCCACACCCAGAAGGACCCACAACUAAGAAUAUACAACUAUGUACCAAGGGGCGUUGGGGAGAACAAGGAAAAAUAAAAUCUUUAAAAAAAAAGAACAGAUGGAAGUCCCCCAGUAUGUAUUAUUUCAAAUUAAACAUGUAUGUAAUUAUAUUAAUUAGUCCCUCUUACUUGCAAUAAAUUUCAUGAUGCUAGGGCUUCUCAGUCACCAUUGUAUUAAUCCUAAACCUCCUAAAAUAACUGUUGUUAACAAUUUGCUGUGAUUUGUAAUUUUUUAAAUAAUAAUUGUUUAUAUGUGUGUAUAUAUCUGUAUCUAUGUGUGUGUGUACAUACACACGUAUAUAGAUAUGCAUACAUUUUUAAUGUGGGUAUGAUGUGUGUAUAAUACUAUGUUGCAACUUUUUUUCUAUUUAAUAUUUUCCUUCCUUUUUCUUUAAAAGCUAAAUUUAUUUCAAAUGAGGUUUAUAUUCAACUGACAAAACUAUAUUUUUCUUCAGAAGUCCUGAAAUUUUAUCUGUUAUUUAUAAUCACUCAUUUUCUUCAAUAAAAAUUUAUUAAGUGGGGACUAUAUUCAAAUUCUGUGAUUCUAUUAAAAACUUAGGCCAAGGGGCCGGCCCGGUAGUGUAGGGGUUAAGUUCGUACAUUCCACUUUGGUGGCCCAGGGUUCAACGGUUCAGAUCUCGGGUGCGGACAUGGUACCGCUCGGCAAACCAUGCUGUGGUAGGCAGGCGUCCCACAUAUAAAAUAGAG